rnacentral:rRNA from 1 species
AUUGAACGCUGGCAGCAGGCCUAACACAUGCAAGUCGAGCGGGAACUUCGGUUCUAGCGGCGGACGGGUGAGUAAUGCGUAGGAAGCUACCCGACAGAGGGGGAUACCAGUUGGAAACGACUGUUAAUACCGCAUAAUGUCUACGGACCAAAGUGUGGGACCUUCGGGCCACAUGCUGUCGGAUGCGCCUACGUGGGAUUAGGUAGUUGGUGAGGUAAUGGCUCACCAAGGCGACGAUCCCUAGCUGGUUUGAGAGGAUGAUCAGCCACACUGGAAAUGAGACACGGUCACGACUCCUACGGGGGGCAGCAGUGGGGAAUAUUGGACAAUGGGCGCAAGCCUGAUCCAGCCAUGCCGCGUGUGUGAAGAAGGCCUUCGGGUUGUAAAGCACUUUCAGUAGGGAGGAAGGAUGUUGUGUUAAUAGCACAGCAUUUUGACGUUACCUACAGAAGAAGCACCGGCUAACUCUGUGCCAGCAGCCGCAGUAACAC